rnacentral:rRNA from 1 species
UACGGAGGGUGCGAGCGUUAUCCGGAAUGAUUGGGCGUAAAGCGUCCGCAGGUGGCUAUGUAAGUCUGCUGUUAAAGAGUGAGGCUCAACCUCAUAAGAGCAGUGGAAACUACAUGGCUAGAGUGCGUUCGGGGCAGAGGGAAUUCCUGGUGUAGCGGUGAAAUGCGUAGAGAUCAGGAAGAACACCGGUGGCGAAAGCGCUCUGCUAGGCCGCAACUGACACUCAUGGACGAAAGCUAGGGGAGCGAAUGGG